rnacentral:rRNA from 1 species
UCAGGAUGAACGCUGGCGGCGUGCCUAACACAGUUCAAGUCGAACGGAGAAGGGGGCUUCGGUCCCCGGAUCGAGUGGCGGACGGGUGAGUAACGCGUGAGCAAUCUGCCUCUCAGUGCGGGAUAACACAGGGAAACCUGUGCUAAUACCGCAUGACGCAUCACUGUCACAUGGCGGAGAUGCCAAAGAUUUAUUGCUGAGAGAUGAGCUCGCGUCCGAUUAGAUAGUUGGCGGGGUAACGGCCCACCAAGUCGACGAUCGGUAGCCGGACUGAGAGGUUGGACGGCCACAUUGGAACUGAGAAACGGUCCAGACUCCUACGGGAGGCAGCAGUGGGGAAUAUUGGGCAAUGGGCGAAAGCCUUGACCCAGCGACGCCGCGUGAGGGAAGAAGGUCUUCGGAUUGUAAACCUCUGUUGACAGGGAAGAAACAAAUGACGUAACCUGUCGAGGAAGCCACGGCUAACUACGUGCCAGCCGCAGC